CCCUACUUUCACUUAAAAACCUUCUACGGCAUGUUCUUGUUGUAGCGGGUGGGAGACUGUAGAACAAACACACCCGAAAAUGAACCUUGCAGUCCCUCACNGCAGUCCCUCACAAACCGAAUCCACUUCUCUAUCCUUCAACACUACUGGUCCAAACUAGUCAAAAUCCUAUUUUUUUACAGUUUACCCCGAGGUGCAAACCCAGAGUUUCCCGACAAAAACCCAUUUUUAGAAUCUAUUCCUCUGCUAAUCCAAAUGGCUCUGAUGGGUUGUCUUGGCCUAG
rnacentral:misc_RNA from 1 species